GCCUGGUGUUGUGUUGCUGUGGUUGGAAUCUGCUAAUUGCUGUGCUCACGUCGAGCUGGUGGGAGAGCCCAGCGUGAGCACCGCAGGAGGAACUUGGCUGCAUAAAGACCGUUCAUUCAGUGCCAGUGUCUAAUGGCACCGAAGUAAAUAGCCGAGCAUUGUUCCGGCAGUGUCAGAGCAGAGCGGGGCCAGCCUUCCUCUGAUGAAUUCCUCCUAAAUAGCGCCCGAGGGGGACGGGAGGGGACGGAAGAGGAGGGGGAGUGCCAGAGGGGAGAGCCAGGAAGACAGAGGAUAAGCAGUGUGUAGAAGAGGACGAAACUGCGAGCAGCUUCACGGCUACCUGUCAACACAUGCUGUGCUCCAUGGCUAACUCGGGCUGCCUCCUUGUCUCCAACUCAGGCAUGCUUCCUCACUCUCUCCCCUGUCCUCCAGCCUUCCUCUACCUCCAACAGGUAAGUGACCCUCUUCUGGGGAUUUUUUUGCUUUGCGGCUCACACGUGCUUUCUCUCAGCGAAGGGUCAGAGUUUAACC
rnacentral:lncRNA from 1 species